UUAAGUUCAGCGGGUAACCCUACCUGAUCCGAGGUCAAACCAUCAAAAGAAAGGUUCGACGGCUGGUCGUCGCCGGGACCCGAUGCGAGGCGUUAUACUACGCAGGGGGCGCCGCGGCGGGACCGCCACUUCAUUUCGGGGACUGCGGGCCGGGCCCGCAGAGCCCCAACACCGGGCGCGGCCGCCAAAGGCAACCGCGC
rnacentral:misc_RNA from 1 species